UUGAUGAUUCAUUUCUUUUUGAUGUAGUUGAAAUACAUAAUUGUGAUCUGUCACGAGAAAACCAACCUAGUGUCCAAAACGUAAAUUUUACAGGAAGGGCAUUUGAAGUUUUGAGUCUAUGUAUCAGACAAUCUAAAAUUUGUAGGUCCUUGAAACUUGCACCACUUUUGGCCCCCAUAAGUGCCAACAUAACCCGAUAUUUUUUUUUCAGAAUCAUCACAUUCAAGGUUGCCAAGUCCAAUAAUCGAAAUUUCCCAAAGUCGAUUUUUUCGAUUUUUUUGAAUUUUUUGCCAAAAAUGUUGCAAAAACUACCAAAGUGAAAAGAGUUGAUUUUUCCAGAGUGAACCUCAUUCAAAUUUCAAAAAAACUGCCUAAAUCCUACAAAUGUGAGCCGAUAUCCACAAAAAUUUG